UAUACUAAGCUGUUGUAAAACUGCAACAACUCCCAUCAUGCCCUGUCAGGGCAUGAUGGGAGUUGUAGUUUUGCAACAGCUGGAGAGCUACAGCUAGAAGCAGCCUGUAGGUAUCAUGAUUUAUAUGUGGUUAGUGUGAAUUCUCCACAUCUCUAGUCUUAACCCCUGCAUAUUUGUGAGAUGUAACCUGUGUCUUCUGCUUAGAUUUGCUUUGGACUUGAUAAAGGGAGGAAUCCCGAAAGCUUGUCUCUACCAAAUGCUGUUAGUCCAAUAAAAAAAGGUAUUACAAGAUACUGCAACAUUUUAGGAUUUGCAUAUGAUUUAUAUGCAAUGAUAUGGAAAGAUGUGGUCUUGACAGUCCUAUUUAAAGGGCCACUAAACCCCAAAAUACAAAGAGCUGCCAAUAUCAUAUUUAAACAUAUGUGAUCUUGGGGAUAGACAGAGCAACAGUAUCCUUUUCUGUAUAAAGUGUCCUUUAAUAUAGGGGGUCAAUUCUGGGUUAGUAAAUGGGAAUAAGAGGAAUAAAAGUUUGACUCCCAGACUCCUAGAGGAGAGUGUCAGCCACGGUGUUCCUGCUCUUUGGAGUGUGACUGUGGGCUGUGUGCUCAGGUAUUAGCGCAGUAAUACUUCCUAAUGGCAGCGCUAAUUACGCCAGGGCUAUUUACUAAAUGAAGGCAAAUGCUGCACCCCCGAGCACCAAAGGAUCCCCUCCAAGAGAAGCAAAAACACCAAGAGCUUCUCAGGGAGAGGAGGGGGGAGAAAUGCCUCGUUUUUUGUCUUGUUGACCAAUCCCUUUGCUGCAAGUGAAACCAGCUUUAGACCUCAGAACAGUCAAUUACCACAAGUCCUGGAGACCAUCAAUCAUGGCCCAAGACAGAAGUUUUUUUUUUUUUUAAGGGGUAGGGGGGCGUAUUAUUCAGUGAUGGCUCCUCUUAUGCCCCCAUCUCAUGAUCACAGCAGCUCCAGAAAGUAGAGAAGGAAAAAAAAAAUUAGGAAUCUUAGUUAAUGGCCGAAUUUAACAUCUUGGAUACCAGGAGAGGUGUCACUUUGUCCCAGCAAUGAAGAGGUUAAUUUACCCUUUCAUUGUUAACGGUGCUUUCCAAGGGUCCGUGACCCUACCGGGAUGGUGACAAGGAUGGGGCCGGUGUGUGCUGCUGACUAAUAGUUGCAUUGCCUGCAGAUACAGAAGUAGAGUCCGGGAGGAGAAGGGUUAAAACGGGCUGCACUGAGUGAAGCUUCCAUAACAUAGAUGUCUACGGGAAAAAAAAUCCUGACAGACAGAAAGAGACAGAAGGAAGAAGGUAGUGGAAGGAGAGGCAAAUAGCCUGCAAUGGGCAGUGGGUGCCCGGCUUUCCUCUCGGGAGUUCUGGGCUGUGGUGCAGGAGGGAGCGCGGGAACUGUGGCCCAGCAGGCAGGAGGGAGCCACAGAUGAUGGGAGUAUUCUGUGAGGAAGUCGGGGGUUAUAGGCAGUGAGUGCACCUCAUACUAGAGAAAGCUGCAGCUCAGGGGGAGCAGCACCCACUCUGCAGCACACUCUCAAGUUGUGCCCAGAACUUGAAGAAAGGAGUUCGCUUUGUUCAGGACACCUAUGGAUUACGGAGGUUCAGGUUCCCAUUACCCUGACCCGCAGCCCCCCUGUCCUGGACCUAACAUGUCUUUCAGUCAUUCUAGACAGUUUUCUUCUACUAAAAUAAAUGAUGUUUUUGUUUUCUUA